UUUUUUUUUUUUUUUUUUUUUUUUGUCUUUUUUUGCCUUUUCUUGAGCUAUUCCUGCGGCACAUGGAGGGAGGUUCCCAGGCUAGGGGUCUAAUUGGACCUGUAGCUGCCAGCCGAUGCCAGAGCCACAGCAACGAGGGAUCCAAGCCACGUCUGCGACCCACACCACAGCUCACAGCAAUGCCAAAUCCUUAACCCACUAAGCAAGGUCAGGAAUCGAACCCGCAACCUCAUGGUUCCUAGUCAGAUUCGCUAACCACUGCGCCACAACGGGAACUCCAAGGAUGCCCACUCUUGUUGCUUUUAUUCAACAUAGUCCUGGAAGUCCUAGUUAGAAUAAUUAAGCAAGACAAAGAAAUUCAAAUUGGAAAGGAAGAAAUAAAACUGCCUCUAUUUUCGGAUGACAUAAUAUUAUAGACGAUCCUAAAGACUACACCAAAGCACUGUUAGAACUAGUCAACAAACAGUAAAGUUGCAGGAUACAAAAUCAAUAUACACAAGAUGGAAAGGACAUUAGUGAUCAUUUAGACCAAUGCUUCAUAUUUACAGAUGUAGAAACUAAGGCCCCAAAUUAUUACACAUCUAGAUAAGUUCUUUUUGCCUAUUAGGAAUGUUAGGUUAUUCCUAAACUGAUGAGUGUGAGGAAAUUAUUACAACAUACUACUACCAUCAUGACCUAACUAGCUCUCCAAAUUGAUGAUAACUUAAAAAGGAAAAAGGUCCCUCAAAACAAUUAAACACUGAUUCAAAAAUGUCAUCUUAUAGUUUAUUGACACAAGGGAGUACUAUGCAAUUGAAAAAAAGAUGAAGAAAAUCUCUAUGAACCCAUGUGGAACGACUUAAGGGAAUAUUAUUAUGAAAAAGUACAGAGGAGUAUCUAUGGUAUGCUCCAUUUUUGUGUAAGAAAGAUGACAAAAUAAGAAAUAUAGAAGCAUCUGUUCAAAUAAUAUGUACACAUCUGCAAAAAGGAACACCCAGAGAAUGAACAAAAAAUGAGAGAGAUUAAAUGCUUACAGGUGGGUAGGUAGAAAAGAUGGGGACACAGAAAUGACAUAGAAGGAAUGGGAAGUGAUGCUUCUCUGAAUAUACUUUUUUGUACAGAUUUGAGUUUUGGAAAUAUACUGAUGUUUUACACAUGCGCGCGUGCACACACACACACACUAUGAGAAUGACAGAAGAUUCAAAAAUGAAAUAUAAACAGAACAAAUGAAGCAAACUUCUAUUUCAAAUGAAUAACACAGCUACACUUGAUGGAAGAAUGGAAAGAAGGUGAUGGAAAGCUAAUCCAAGUAACUUUUAAACCGAUUAUUUGUACCAUAAUAAAUACAACCACAGUUAUUAGGCUAAAAACAAAACACUCUAAAUACUUCCAAUUUUACCGACAUAUGUCAAAAUAAAAAGUGAAAAAGUCCUAUUCACUGUUGUAACCUUAAAUGCCUAGAACCUGGCACAGAGCUGGUAUCCAAUUAACACUUGCUCAACAAAUGAACCUCACUUAAGUUAUAAAACUCUAAAUUCCAAUCAGAAAGAAGGAACAGAGAUUGGAAGCUCAUUAGGAAUCAAAUUCUACACUCUUCCUCCAUGAUUACAAAUUUGUCAGACACACAGAAGAAUGGACAACUGAAAGAGGGAACUAUAGUUUCUGCUCUAUAAAAAACCAUUCUUCCUGCCUUUGAUAUGUUUAAUAUGUGAACACUCUAUCAGCCUAAAUACUGAUAUUACUCCCAGAACAUACACAUAAGCCCAACCUCAGAGUGAAGUAAAAUCAACACUUAGCAACAGAUUACAGUAUUUAUCAGAUACAAUGAACCCUUGGAGAAAACUAAGAAUUUAAAACCAUCUGAAGGAAUCUAGGGACCCUAAAGAGUUAUUCAAGAUAACAGAUUCAGAUACUUAUAAAAAAUUAGGAAUAAAAGGUGCUUUAACAAGAAUCCAAAAGGUUAUUCUUCUUAAUCAGAAAGGUCUGAUUUUGGUAUACAAGGACUACUGAUGGUACAGCCUAGAUUUAAACGAGCCUUAUCGGAAGGGAAGAAUCCCUUCUAAGACAACCAUUCUAUCUUCUCCUUCUCAGUCUCUAUAAUUAAUUAACUCAUGCAUUCCAUUAUUUACCCAGGCAAAUUUUUUUUUUUUUUUUUGCCUUUUUGCCUUUUUGCCUUUUCUUGAGCCACUCCCGCAGCAUUUGGAGGUUCCCAGACUAGGGGUUGAAUCGGAGCUGUAGCCACCGGCCUACACCAGAGCCACAGCAACUCGGGAUCCGAGCUGCAUCUGUGACCUACACCACAGCUCACAGCAAUCCUUAACCCACUGAGCAAGGCCAGGGAUUGAAUCCACAACCUCAUGGUUCCUAGUCGGAUUCAUUAACCACUGCACCACGACGGGAACUCCGACCCAGGCAAUUUAUAUUGAGCACUUCCUCCAUGCCAGGUCCUCUCCUAGCAUUCUGGUGACCCAAAAACAAAAAAGUCAGAGAUAGAGUACAAGAGAUAUCUCAAAAAGACAGGUUCUGCUCAAUUCAUACAUUCGAAUCAUUCCAAAGAAUAAAGCUGAGACAGGUGAACAAGUCAUUCAUGUCAAAGAUUCGCCGAGGCAUUCCUAGUAUGUUGAUCCACACUCCUAAGGUCCCAAAACACAUUUGGAGAGUUCGUUCUUUCUAUAUAUAACUCAACCUUUCAGAACAAUUCGGGGGAAAGUAACCUUCCUUUCCAUAUCAAAAUUACAUUCUAAAGACCUAAAAUAAAAGCAGAACUCCAAUUUUCUAAUUCUGAAAGCAUUGUUUAUUGGAAAACCAGUUAGUAUUUAAAUGACAGCACCCAAAGCUCAAUUAAACAAGAAGUAAAUAAAAAUUCUUUACAACUGAAUGAGCUGUCGCUCUACUCUCUUGGUCUAUGGAAGAAGAUCAAGCUUAGAGGCUAAAUUAUACAUGGUUAACCUGUAAAAAUAGUGGGUCAUAUGACUCAGGAAAAAAAAAAAAAGCAAAAGGCAGCCCAGUUUGGUGUUCUUACGACAGAGAGGCAGGAAAGUGAGACAGAUAAACGCAAGUCAGCAUGAAAGAGAAAGAGUAAAGAAAUCUGGAAAUGACUAGAAGUGAUGAAACAGGAGUGAGGGGUAAAGACAGAAAAGACUGAGGGGGAGUGAUUUUAAUUAGUGGUAAUGAGGCCAACUGCAAGGUUCUGUCCUCUCACUCAAAGGCAAUUACUUCUCUUUCUCACCGGUCAAAAGAAAUAAAAUAUUGAAAUUCCAUCUCAGGUACACAGAGCAGUGCUUGGUACACAGCAUAUGUCGGACACAUGAAAUGUUAAUUAUUACUAUGAUUGUUAAUUAAUAGCAGAAGCUGAAGAAAUACACCUUGAUGAUGUUACACAAGUUGGACCUAAGAAGAAAAUUUAAGAGAUUUCUAAUAUAGAAGUCCCCAGAUGUCACAAUGUGCUUAUCACUUAUUUCCUCAAGAUAUUAACGUUCCAACUGCCACAGAGACUGAAGCAAAGUAAAACACAGAAAAAGCAGAUCUUAGGGUUCCCUGGUGGUGCAUCAGCUUAAGGAUCCAGCAUUGUCACUGCUGUGGCUCUGGUUACAGCUAUGGCAUAGAUUUGAUUCCUGGUCUGGGAAGCUCCAUGUAUUGCAGCUGUGGCAAAAAAAAAAAAAAAAAAAAAAAAAAGAAGAAGAAGAAAGAAAGAAAAAAGAAAAAACAGAUCUUUAUGAAAUGUUCAAAAAAGUUGAAGUCUGUAGUUUGACUGUAAUUUGCCUACCAGUUUGUAUACCAUUUGCAUCUCACAAUGCCUUAAAUCUCAACAAAGUUUUCUUAAUAUUGAAAGCUAUUGAGUUCAUCCAUUUAUAGUUCUCCGAAAAAGAGUUAUCAGAAGAGAAAAACAUAUGUGUCACAUAUAAAUGUCAAAGGUGAAAAAAUGUUCAGUCUCUUUAGUAAACAAAGAUUCCAUUGGGAAUUAGAUUAGCAAAGUCUAUUGCUAGUAGCACAAUAAUGGGCAUCUUUGUGGCAAAGAACUUAGAAACGUGAAAAUUCAUCUAGCAAUUUUACUUCUAGGUUUUUAUUUCACAGAAACAACCAGGAUUGUACACAAGACUUUAUCCAUAAGGAUGCUCCCCAGAACAUAUUAACAAUAGCAAAAAAAAAAAAAAAAAAAAACAACAAAAAAAAACCUCAAAACUAAGCAAGAGCCUAAAUUUGAAAUAGUUAGGAGUUCCCAUUGUAGUUCAGUGGUAACAAUCUGACAAGGAUCCAUGAGAACACAGGUUCUAGCCCUGACCUCAUUCAGUGGGUUAAGGAUUCAGCAUUGCCAUAAGCUCCGGUGUAGAUUGCAGAGGCAACUCAGAUCUGGCAUUGCUGUGGCUGCGGCGUGGGCCAGCAGCUACAGUCCGAUUUAAUCCCUAGCCUGGGAACAUCUAUGUGCCACAAGUGUAGCCCUAAAAAAAAAAAAAAAAAAAAAAAAAAAAAAGUACUUU
rnacentral:lncRNA from 1 species